rnacentral:rRNA from 1 species
UACGUAGGGUGCGAGCGUUAAUCGGAAUUACUGGGCGUAAAGAGUGCGCAGGCGGUUUGUUAAGCCAGAUGUGAAAGCCCCGGGCUCAACCUGGGAACUGCGUUUGGUACUGGCAAGCUAGAGUACGGCAGAGGGGGGUGGAAUUCCACGUGUAGCAGUGAAAUGCGUAGAGAUGUGGAGGAACACCGAUGGCGAAGGCAGCCCCCUGGGCCGAUACUGACGCUCAGGCAUGAAAGCGUGGGGAGCAAACAGG